CAUGGUGUGUAGCAAUACACAUUGAUGGCGAGUGGCGGACGGGUGAGUAACGCGUAGGAAUCUGCCUUGAAGCGGGGGACAACUAGAGGAAACUCUAGCUAAUACCGCAUAAUAUCGAAAGAUCAAAGUUGCCCGUAAGGGUGACACUUCAAGAGGAGCCUGCGUCCGAUUAGCUAGUUGGUAGGGUAAAAGCCUACCAAGGCGAUGAUCGGUAACUGGUCUGAGAGGACGACCAGUCACACUGGGACUGAGACACGGCCCAGACUCCUACGGGAGGCAGCAGUGGGGAAUAUUGGACAAUGGGCGCAAGCCUGAUCCAGCAAUGCCGCGUGAGUGAUGAAGGCCUUCGGG
rnacentral:rRNA from 1 species